UUACGGCUUCUCUGCUAAACAUUUCUGAGAGGUCAGGCUGAGUCGCCAGUGAAUGACAGAAACAAGUUUACUCCGUGGCAGAGGACUCAAUUUUAAGCGAAUAGACUUAGGCAUGCUUAAAAAUAAGUGAAAAAAACCUAUCCCCAAAACAAAUGAAAAAAUAACAACUAAACUACCAAAGUGGUGACUUCCAGAAUAGGAAUGGAAGGGAGGGGAAAGCUCACAGGUUUAAAGGAGUGAAGGAAUUUUUUGGAUAUUCGGUUCUUCUUUCCUGUUGGAUAAAAAGUAAGUUCCUGAGGCAAGAAGAAGGAAAUUAAAAAGAACAAUGCUCAGGGGUUUGAAGACUGAAGUAAGUGAGGGAAGGAUGGUGGGUUACCAUGGGAACUUUCUACAGCAUACCUGAUGGAUCUGGCCCUGUCUACUUCUGGUUUAGCUCAAGAAUACUUGGGAGAAGGGGUAGCCAUAACAAAGCACACAGGAGUGAGCCUCAGGGCUGACUUUCCCCAAUCCUCAGUACCUUCACCCAUAGUCAGAAAGAGUUGUUCAAAAUGACUUCAAAUGUCCUUGGGUUUACUGACAAACAAAACCAAAACAAAACCCCAAAACCAACCAACCAACCAACAAACAAAAAAGCCUGGAGCCUAUGAUAUUUUGACAGCAAAAAACUGGCUUUUUACUCAGGGUCUCAUCUUUUCUAGGAAGCCUGAGAGCACAGUACUUACAUACUGUCUGAACUGGCAGAUCCUACUCAGCGACCAUUUACACCUAAUGGUACAAGUACAAGUGUGUGGUACCUUUUCUGAUAACAGGUCUCUCCCCAGACCAGGGAUUUUUUCUUAGUCUGCUCGUCCUACUACAACCUAUGAGGACCAACUUCUAGCAAACACAAUUUCCAGUCAACAAGGCUCACUCCAGAGUCUGAGUGGCUGAAUGGAACCAGGAUCACCAUCCAUCCGACUCCAUUUCUCCUGUUCCAGACCAGGCCAGGAGUCGCUGAGCUGUGGUAGGCACUUUUCAUUGGCUCCCCAGUUUGAUACAGGGAAGUGACUGGAGGAUCCAGGUUACCCCAGUAGAAAGAUGAAGUAGGACACAUUCAGGUUCUUUCCUCUUGGCUUUCCAAGUAGUCUAUGCUGCCUAGUUGGGUGGGUGGGUGGGGGGUCAACAGUUUUCACUGUGUCUGAUGCAGAAAGGCAAUUUCAACAGCCACAGUUGAAGAUCAAUGGGACACUGGCUGGGACAGUAGUUUUAAAACAAAGAUUCAAGGUGACCUACAAGUUCCAUGAAGCCACAGGGCCAAAGUAUCAAAUAAAGAGAUUUGGAAGGCCCAAACAUUUAUUUCCUUGGGGGCUUGCAGUUCACUAACUGAACCUGUAAACCAGCUGUAUUUAGUGUCUUAGCUACUUCCUUGGGUCUCUAACACUGACGAUCGACUGUAGGUCAAGUUCCAACGGAAGUGACAUUUCUGACCUAGCUCUAUAAAUAGAGUACUGGAAAAAAACCAUCAGCUGCACAGACUGGCCCGGGAACCACACGCUCUCUAGUAAGCAACCACCGUAUCUGUGCUGCCAUUUUAGACGAGAAAGAAAUAGCCUGGGUUAUUUAUAAUCUUCUGAGUUUUGAGAUUCUCAAAAUAUUUGGAAGCUAUUAGUCUUUCAGAUUUACAAAGAAAGGAUCUGAGGCAUAAAGCCAUGUAACAACUGUCUCACCCAAUACUGUCCGCUCACAGCCCAGUGACCUGCUAGAAGAACUGGCCGCUUUGCUUAGGCCGUGGGGAGAUUGUCAUCCCCAGGCUCUCUUAGCUAGAGGAGGGAGGGAUGAAUUGAAGUAGAGUGCUUGCUCCUAUCACAUACUCAGCCUGACUCAAGUCUCAGCAACACUCAUUACUGGGGAGACUAAGAGAAGUGUAGCACAAGCCAUAAAAGGUAGAGUAAUCAGCACCUUUGGAAUGCAAGAUUUAGAGGUGGAUUAAUCUCCCCUAGCAGCAGGUGGAGCAGAAGCGGGGCAAGCUAAUCGCUAGGAUAAAGCCUGGUAUGCACCAGCACAAAUCACUCAAACAGCCCCACCGAUUUUUCUAUGGGGAGAAAAUACUUAUACUUUCCCAGAGUCUUGGGAUGGUCAUGUAAGUUAUUAUCCAAUCAGGAGACUUUUUGAAAUAGAGAUGGGCUUCCUUUGAGUCAUAACAGGACAGCAGAGAGGAAUUUGGGACUGUUCCGGUGAACACAGGCUGUCAUCUAAUAGGGUCACCACACAGAAACCGUCUGGAAUCAGGUUCUCCAGAAAGGCUGAAUCUGGACCAGAUACAUCAUAUGGAGAGGCACAUGUCUAGAACUAAGCCCAGAUUUAUGAAAACAAAGGACCGAAUCUUCUAGAAGAAACUCCAAGAAGAUGGCGCCCUUGUAUCCCCAGUUCCUAAUUUGAGAUCUUCUCAUUAACAGAACAGGGACCUAAGAAAUACUUUUGACAUGUGUGAAUGUUUAAGUCUCUGUUCAAAAAGAAAACUGGAAAUGUGCCAGUUCAAGUAGAAGUGACUGUGAAUGGAAGGGACGUGCUGGAAUGGCACAUUGGAUGGAUGGCUGUCUCUGCAGCAUCUCAAGGACGCCAGGGGCUAAAACAUGAGGGGAUUGAAGUUCCUGUACCCAUCUGGGAAAACUCCCUGGAAAGACGUGAUUUUUCCAGCAGAACUACAGUUCAGGGAACACGUGUCAUUUAAAAUUGUUAUUGGCUAUGUGAAAACAAGUGAAACAAAUGCUAACAUUUUAUUUCAGUUAGCACAAUGUCCAAACUACCAUCAGAUGGAUGUGUAAUCAAUAUAGAAGUUAAUAUAGUCCACUCUAUCUCCCAUGUAUGAAGUUUCUAAAGUUCAUUGAACCUUACAUUUAGAACGUGUUUUGCACUCAGCAGUCACAUGUGACACUGCAGGUCUAGGAGGCUUCCAUUUGGUGGUGGUGGACCCAAGGUAUGCAGAAAAACAAGCUUCGGAUGUAACAGUGUUUCCAUCUGCUUCUGCAGUCAGCUGCAUCCGAAUCCUGCUUUUCUAGAUACCUAGUAACCCUGUGGCAAUUUUACGUUCUGCUUCCAGUACUUCGAGCAUGGUUUCUGUCACACAAUAAAAGCAGGCAGAGAUAGAGAAGGCGUGCCUAUGGGUGCAUCCUGUUUAAGUGCCUGCUGAAUAGCAGACGGUUAAAUCAGCACGGCUGAAUUUAUAAACUAAGAAAGUUAUUAAAAGAAAUGUGCCCCCAUCUUAUUCUUGGCUUUCGAGGGCAUUCGCUGUAGGUUACAUAAUCAAUUUGUCAGUCUUUUUUUUUUUUUUUUUUUUUUUUUUGUGAAUAAAUGAACCAAAGACUAGUUCCUGUUUGAAGAAUUCCAGGUGCGUUUGCUGUAAAUUCUGAAUCAAACAGGAGUUUAAUAAGGUGCAGGCCUACAAGAUACCUGGAUCCUAUCCAUGGGAGACUGCUACAAUGUAAAAGAAAUUAAAAGAGCAGCCUUUCUAUCAGCCAGCAAACUCCUGCUUCAUCUCAGCUCCUGUCUUCCCGCCAGCACACAUGUAUUUCUGUGUUUCCAGUUAAACAUGGAACUGGAGUUUGGGAGGAAAUGGGUCAGUGGUUGAUGUCUCCUGUGAGGAAAGCAGCGGCCAUCUCUGACACCUGGACCCAAAUCCUUGUGAUUUGAUGGUAAAUAAGUGUGGCUAUUUUGGGACUAGUGUUCCUUUUCUUCUGAAAGAUCCAGGUCUAUGCUGAAGAGGUGAGGGCAGUAUAGUCUCUUCUAAACUAUACUUCUCUCAGUCAUAAAGCAAGCUUUGGGCAGUUUAGGUUGUAAAUCAGGGCUACCCUGAUUUCUAGGGUGUCUUUGUAGGUGAUAUAGGGUUGGCAACUUGGAAAGUCUAGACCAAAAAAGAGGCGGAAACAAUCUUUUUCCACUAGCAGAUAGGAGCCCUCCUGGGACCAGGAGUGCCAGUGCUAAUUGGCAUGUGCAAUUCAGUGGUUUUGGAGGAGAUGGGAAGGGUAUGUGGUAGGUAUUUAACUGUUUAACUAGAUAUUGUGAGGGCUGAGACAGAAAGAAUGAGAAAGCAAACAUGCCACUAUGUCCUUUACAGUGUCGGCAUGGGUCCUGUGUGCCAUGCGGGAGGAAACUGCAGCAUGUACUGUAGCUCCAGCUAUCUCGAGAGCCAAGGAUGCCAUGCCACUACUCCACAUGCGUGAGUCAGGGCCUUGUAGAUGCCUUUUCCCUUGGACAGGUCACUCGCCGUGUAAGAGGGAAACAACACACUUUCCCAUGAAGAUAGACUAGGCAGUUCCUGUUGGAAAACUCAAGUGAGUCAAUGAAAACAGCCUUAAACAUGCAAAGUUUCUGUUCUGCUCAUCCUACUUAUGAGUAGGUAAGAAGCUUCACAGACACACGGACACAUAGAGAUAGAGAUGGAUGGAUGGAUGGAUGGAUGGAUGGAUGAAUAGAUAGAUAGA